AAUCCGCCCUUGGGGAAACAGAUACAUGUAUGGGAUGUUUUCUACACAGCUUGGUUUGUGCGUUUAUAAUGUCUGUGGGUGGUUUGCGCAGUCAAUGAAACGUGUUUGGCGCCCUCAAUAUUGAGGGCGCCAUCAAACGCGGUUACACGCAGGUGGCUGGUGUGCAGUUUGUUUACUUGUCUGCGUUUAUCGUGGGUACUUUGGUCGAGAUCCUUCCACUCCAGUUUCAUUCUCAUAUUUCAUUAUCAUAUUUCUCGUUAAUAUUCAUAGGACUGAAGACAUGGUGUACAACCUCCGUCACUCCGUUCCUUUGGAAUAUAUUCAGCGUUAACAUCAACUUCAAGUGGACUUUGCUGAGCUCUGCGUAGGGCCUAGAUGUUGACAUGGGGGCCUACAAUUCACGACCGCCAGCAAACCUUCACGUGGGCUUGAUUAUCUUCUGUUGUUGGUUGAGCCAAUGUCAUGACGGUGGUGCAGGGGGAAGUCAACCAACUUUCCCAAGAUAGAAAAAUUCCCUUAACAAUGUCACUUGUCAGUGUUUGCCUCACUGGAAAAAAAUGUUGCAACCUGAUGGCUGAUGCCACUUCUGCGAUAGUGUUCCUGCAUGGCAUUACGCCUGAGGACAGACAACAAAAGGAGCACAAAGGGGCCAUUGAUCCUCGAAGGAAGGUGCCUAUUGUCCUCGAACGCAGGUGAUAAAAAUCAACCAACCAGUUCUCUUGGUUGGGGAGUUAUUUGGGUGGUAAGGAAGCAGUGGACCAGGCAAUCAAUCGAGCACACCAUUGAGACAUGGAUCAACCUCCACUGAUUGACGGAGUUGUGCUGACUAAGAUUGACACCUUUGAUGAUAAGGUGAUGGCAGUUCUACCAGCUCUCUUCACAUCAGAGAGCUCUCUUGAGAAGCACUAUAGAGGCACUAUAAGGCCCAGGAGAAGGACUGCUUCUCACGGCUAGAACAGACUCAGACCAGAGCUCCCUUGAGAAGC